rnacentral:piRNA from 1 species
AGGGAAUCUGGAAGAUAGAAUAUUGUG